CCGGGAGUUCCAUGUCAACGGGAAUUCAAAUCUUCAUCAAGGGUUUAUUAAAGCUCUAAAUUAUUGAGAUGAGAUUCUCUUUUAAAGCCACGAGCUGACGAGCAUCAGCAGUAGCAUAGAGGGAGAGAACCAGAGAAAAGAUAUUGCGCCAUCGUCAUGGGAACCGUUAUCGACUCCCAUUUCUUAGGCCUAACUGCCAUUGUCACUGUGGGGUAUCAGUUUUUGUUCUUUAUAGUCACAGCCCUUCUCAAAUUCGAUAAAGUCACUGACUUUGCCGGAAGCACAAAUUUUGUGAUAAUUGCGAUAUUGACUCUGAUUCUGAAAGGCACAUGGAAUUUUAGACAGAUAGUCCUGACUUUGCUUGUAUUCAUAUGGGGUCUUCGCCUGGGAUUGUUUCUGUUAAUGAGGAUCUUGCAGUGGGGGGAGGAUAGACGUUUUGAUGAAAUGCGUAGUAAUUUGGGAAAGCUGGCAAUAUUCUGGAUAUUUCAGGCUGUCUGGGUGUGGACAGUUAGUUUGCCUGUCACAGUGGUUAAUUCAAGCUCAAGAAAUCCAUCUCUCCAGGCUGCGGACAUAGUUGGCUGGAUUAUGUGGUCAGUGGGUUUUUUAAUUGAAGCAACAGCUGAUCAGCAAAAAUUGGUAUUCAAAAACUCUCCAGAAAAUAGAGGGAGAUGGUGCAAUGUUGGAAUCUGGAAAUACUCUCGUCAUCCCAACUAUUUUGGCGAGAUUCUCCUCUGGUGGGGAAUAUUUGUGGCUUCCACACCGGUACUAGAAGGUGCUGAGUGGCUUGUAAUCCUUGGGCCAUUCUUCCUCACAUUGUUGCUUCUUUUCAUCAGUGGCAUACCAUUGCUUGAGGUAUCGGCAGAUAAGAAGUUUGGGAAUGUAGCUGAAUAUAGGCUUUAUAAAAGAAGAACUAGCCCUCUAAUUCUACUGCCACCAGCAGUAUAUGGGAAUUUGCCCUUCUGGUUCAAAGCAAGUUUUCUCUUUGAAUUUCCUUUCUACAGUCGUAGUCUUCCACAAGAAGGAUUAAACUGGUAUAGAGCAAGUGGGGGAGAAAGCAGCAGCGGAUUGAAGAUGCAUUAGUGCACGACGAUUCUUUGACUUGCGAAGUUUCAUUUCUUUAUACUCCCUUAUAUGGUUCAUUAGUGUUUGAUCUUCUCUAUGGCAAGUAUGAUGAAGUGGAAUUCUGAUUUGCUAAUUUUCAAGCUGUCCUGUUAUCCCCAAUAAGGAUCAUAGUAGAACAUGUACAUAUGAUUGGUUGAUUCUGCAAGAAUUUGAGUCAUCAUUAUCUUCCCUUUUCUUCUUUUCUUUUGUAAGAGCAGUACAAUUUACAAAUAAGUUUGAAUUCAGUUUUGGAGAGAGCUCCAUGGCAUAUGGCCAAUAGGCCUCUGGUUCGCAAAUGAUGGCAGCCCAACCUAACACAGUCCAAGGAAGGUUUGAAAAAAGUUCCUAGCAAGAAAACUACUGCAGUAAUUAAAGCACUGCAUAUUAGAGCAAUGGCCUUUUAAAGCUCCAUCUCUUGAAGAUCAAGAAAGGACUUUGGAGGAGCUCAAGAAGCACAAAUUUUGCGAUAAUUGCAAUAUUGACUCUGAUUCUGAAAGGCACAUGGAAUGUUAGACAGAUAGUCUUGACUUCACUUGUAUU